rnacentral:rRNA from 1 species
ACACCGGCGGCCCGAGUGGUGAUCGUGAUUAUUGGGUCUAAAGGGUCCGUAGCCGGUUUGGUCAGUCCUCCGGGAAAUCUGAUAGCUCAACUAUUAGGCUUUCGGGGGAUGCUGCCAGACUUGGAACCGGGAGAGGUAAGAGGUACUACAGGGGUAGGGGUGAAAUCUUGUAAUCCCUGUGGGACCACCUGUGGCGAAGGCGUCUUACCAGAACGGGUUCGACGGUGAGGGACGAAAGCUGGGGGCACGAACCGGAUUAGAUACCCGGGUAGUCCCAGCCGUAAACGAUGCUCGCUAGGUGUCAGGCAUGGCGCGACCGUGUCUGGUGCCGCAGGGAAGCCGUGAAGCGAGCCACCUGGGAAGUACGGCCGCAAGGCUGAA